rnacentral:lncRNA from 1 species
ACCUGCAUCUGCCAACAAGACUGGAAGCAGGUGAGGCACACAGAGGGGGAGGCCCGCAGCUGCGUGGGAGGAGGGGUGGUCUGAGGGACGUGGGAUGCCGGGAAUGAGGCUGGUUUGCAGGUUGGCGCAUGGACAUUUUCCCAGAAAGGGACAGAGACGGCGAAGUUUGACGGUCUGGAAAGCAGAGACCAGCAGGGCUGACUGCUUGGGAGCACCAAAUAUCCGGACAGCGCCUCUCGGGAGGUCCGAGAAGAGAACCGCGAUCUGUUUCAGCACCGGGGCUCAGGACAGUUCCCAGCGGGCUCCGUUUCGUCUCCAGAACCCUGGACAGCUCCUCCAGCUUGGAAUGCACUCCCUCCACCUCCAACCAGAGCUCCCCACAACUGACCCUGCCUUCUUCUGCAAGCUCCAUUUCAUCAAGGGAAACGAUCCUUAUUGCCUCACCAUUUCCCACGUGAAGUCUGUAUUGACAUUCUCAUAGACCUGGGAUAUUGUGUCUGCAGCACAUAGUCCAAUUAUUUUCAUGUUAUCUACUGACAGGUCUAUUUGUCUCCCUGUUACACUGUGAGCUCCGUGAGGGCAGAAACAAUGUUAGUAUUUUCACUGCUGUGUCCCCAGCGCCUGGUCCGGGGCCCGGCACACAGCAGGCAUAUAAUAAGCAUGUGUUGAAUCAAUAAAGGCAUCAAAGAAUAAACCAAUACAUCAAUCAA